rnacentral:rRNA from 1 species
AGUGAACGCUGGCGGUAGGCCUAACACAUGCAAGUCGAACGGCAGCACAGUAAGAGCUUGCUCUUACGGGUGGCGAGUGGCGGACGGGUGAGGAAUACAUCGGAAUCUACUUUUUCGUGGGGGAUAACGUAGGGAAACUUAUGCUAAUACCGCAUACGACCUACGGGUGAAAGCAGGGGAUCUUCGGACCUUGCGCGAUUGAAUGAGCCGAUGUCGGAUUAGCUAGUUGGCGGGGUAAAGGCCCACCAAGGCGACGAUCCGUAGCUGGUCUGAGAGGAUGAUCAGCCACACUGGAACUGAGACACGGUCCAGACUCCUACGGGAGGCAGCAGUGGGGAAUAUUGGACAAUGGGCGCAAGCCUGAUCCAGCCAUACCGCGUGGGUGAAGAAGGCCUUCGGGUUGUAAAGCCCUUCUGUUGGGAAAGAAAAGCAGCAGGUUAAUACCCCGCUGUUCUGACGGUACCCAAAGAAUAAGCACCGGCUAACUUCGUG